rnacentral:rRNA from 1 species
UGGGGAAUUUUGCGCAAUGGGGGAAACCCUGACGCAGCAACGCCGCGUGAAGGAAGAAGGUUUUCGGAUCGUAAACUUCUGUCCGAGGGGAAGAAAAAAAUGACGGUACCCUUGGAGGAAGCCCCGGCUAACUCCGUGCCAGCAGCCGCGGUAAUACGGGGGGGGCAAGCGUUGUUCGGAAUUACUGGGCGUAAAGGGCGCGCAGGCGGUCUGAGAAGUUCUAGGUGAAAGCCCUCGGCUUAACCGAGGAAUGUCCUAGGAAACCAUCAGGCUAGAGUGCUGGAGAGGGGAGUGGAAUUCCCGGUGUAGCGGUGAAAUGCGUAGAUAUCGGGAGGAACAUCGGAGGCGAAGGCGACUCCCUGGACAGACACUGACGCUGAGGCGCGAAAGCCAGGGGAGCAAACGGG